rnacentral:rRNA from 1 species
GAUGAACGCUGGCGGCGUGCUUAACACAUGCAAGUCGAACGAAGCAUUUAUUAUGAAGUUUUCGGAUGGAUUAAUUUAUGACUUAGUGGCGGACGGGUGAGUAACGCGUGGGUAACCUGCCUCAUACAGGGGGAUAACAGUUGGAAACGACUGCUAAGACCGCAUAAGCCUACAGUACCGCAUGGUACAGGAGGAAAAAAUUUAUUGGUAUGAGAUGGACCCGCGUCUGAUUAGCUAGUUGGUAAGGUAACGGCUUACCAAGGCGACGAUCAGUAGCCGACUUGAGAGAGUGAUCGGCCACAUUGGGACUGAGACACGGCCCAGACUCCUACGUGAGGCAGCAGUGGGGAAUAUUGCACAAUGGGGGAAACCCUGAUGCAGCAACGCCGCGUGAGUGAUGACGGUCUUCGGAUCGUAAAACUCUGUCUUCAGGGACGAUAAUGACGGUACCUGAGGAGGAAGCCACGGCUAACUACGUGCCAGCCGCCGCCGUAAAAC